rnacentral:rRNA from 1 species
UACGUAGGGGGCGAGCGUUGUCCGGAAUUACUGGGCGUAAAGAGCGCGUAGGCGGCCUGCUAAGUCAGGUGUGAAAACUUAAGGCUCAACCUUAAGAUGGCAUUUGAAACUGACAGGCUUGAGGGCAGGAGAGGAGAGCGGAAUUCCUAGUGUAGCAGUGAAAUGCGUAGAUAUUAGGAGGAACACCAGUGGCGAAGGCGGCUCUCUGGACUGAACCUGACGCUGAGGUGCGAAAGCCAGGGGAGCAAACGGGAUUAGAAACCCGUGUAGUCC